UGCAUCGGCCGGGAAUCGAAACCGGGUCCCCCGCGUGGAAGGCGAGCAUUCUCGCCACUGAACAACCGAUGC
rnacentral:tRNA from 1 species